UACGUAGGGUGCAAGCGUUAAUCGGAAUUACUGGGCGUAAAGCGUGCGCAGGCGGUUCUGUAAGUCUGUCGUGAAAUCCCCCGGGCUUAACCUGGGAAUUGCGAUGGAGACUGCAAGGCUAGAAUCUGGCAGAGGGGGGGUAGAAUUCCACGUGUAGCAGUGAAAAUGCGUAGAGAUGUGGAGGAACACCGAUGGCGAAGGCAGCCUCCUGGGCCAGCACUGACGCU
rnacentral:rRNA from 1 species